CCUGCUCGCCCUUUUCGGGCGUUUCCUCCCUAGACUUCAGACCGCCUCCGGGCUUGCCGUUUUUCCGC
rnacentral:sRNA from 1 species